rnacentral:rRNA from 1 species
GACGAACGCUGGCGGCGUGCUUAACACAUGCAAGUCGAACGGAAAGGCCCUUCGGGGUACUCGAGUGGCGAACGGGUGAGUAACACGUGGGUGAUCUGCCCUGCACUUUGGGAUAAGCCUGGGAAACUGAGUCUAAUACCGAAUAGGACCACGCGCUUCAUGGUGUGUGGUGGAAAGCUUUUGCGGUGUGGGAUGGGCCCGCGGCCUAUCAGCUUGUUGGUGGGGUAAUGGCCUACCAAGGCGACGACGGGUAGCCGGCCUGAGAGGGUGACCGGCCACACUGGGACUGAGAUACGGCCCAGACUCCUACGGGAGGCAGCAGUGGGGAAUAUUGCACAAUGGGCGCAAGCCUGAUGCAGCGACGCCGCGUGAGGGAUGACGGCCUUCGGGUUGUAAACCUCUUUCAAUAGGGACGAAGCGCAAGUGACGGUACCUAUAGAAGAAGCACCGGCCAACUACGUG